GACGAACGCUGGCGGCGUGCUUAACACAUGCAAGUCGUACGGUAAGGCCCUUUCGGGGGUACACGAGUGGCGAACGGGUGAGUAACACGUGAGUAACCUGCCCACAACUUUGGGAUAACGCUAGGAAACUGGUACUAAUACUGGCUAUGUGCUCCUGCUGCAUGGUGGGGGUUGGAAAGCUCCGGCGGUUGUGGAUGGACUCGCGGCCUAUCAGCUUGUUGGUGGGGUAGUGGCCUACCAAGGCGGCGACGGGUAGCCGGCCUGAGAGGGUGACCGGCCACAUUGGGACUGAGAUACGGCCCAGACUCCUACGGGAGGCAGCAGUGGGGAAUAUUGCACAAUGGGCGCAAGCCUGAUGCAGCAACGCCGCGUGCGGGAUGACGGCCUUCGGGUUGGAAACCGCUUUCAGCAGGGACGAAGCUUUUUGUGACGGUACCUGCAGAAGAAGCACCGGCUAACUACGUG
rnacentral:rRNA from 1 species